rnacentral:lncRNA from 1 species
GUCAAGUUGUGAAAAGCUUCUGUUAAGAUUUCAACAGUCACAAAUUGGACCUCUCAGAAAAUGUUAAUUCAAGCCUUUCAGAUUACUAAUUUGUGAUUUAAAGCUUGACUUAAUUUUAGUAAAGGGAGACCUCAUUGCAAAUUAAUCUGAGGUAGCAAACCAUGUGUAUAGUCCUCGAUCAUCAAAAUCUUACAUUGAGAGAUUUAAAAGUAAAGUGCAAGUUAACACUGUACCUUAGAGAUGGAUGUUGUAAAUGUUGGUGGUGUUCUUUUAUUGCAGUCUACAUUAUGUUAUGUUUCCAUAGCCUAAGACUUAUAUGAAAAUAUGAACUAAUGAAUGAAAUCAAAAAAAGAAAAAAAGGACAACCUUGUCCUCAAAAUAAUUCCCCAUAUGGAAAUUGCUCUCCCAUGGACUGAGCAGAUCCAGUUCCUCCCUCACUUCUGAGCUUCACUUUCUGUGGGUAGAAGGCAAAGUACAUCUG